UCCUCUUACAAAGGCGCACUUGCAUUGGAUUGCUUGCCUGUGCGUAAGAACUGGAGGAAUAGUGAUAUGAAUGGUGACUUAAAUAUUACUGGCUGCCAUGUAG
rnacentral:snoRNA from 1 species